rnacentral:pre_miRNA from 1 species
GUUAUACUCCCUCCGUCCCAAAAUUCUUGUCUUAGAUUUGUCUAGAUAAGGAUGUAUCUAAUACUAAAACGUGACUUGAUACAUCCGUAUCUAGACAAAUUUAAGACAAGAAUUUUGGGAUGGAGGGAGUAUAUU